AUACAAACACACAUUCUGAUUCAAAUAGGCAAACCUGUCCACUGGGUCACGUGGUUCCAGUUGGGCCCCCUUGCAUUCAAAACUGACCUUCCGGACAGCCUUGGGG